UGAAAGAUAGGCGCGUAUAUGAGUUGUAAAAAAAAAGAACGUCUGAAAAAAUAAAAAUACCGUUAUAAACCUCCAAUCCACCGCCAUAUUCCGGGAAACCACCGCCUUAAAAUCUAUAUAAAACACUCUCACCGGUAAAGUUUUGUGUACAUAACCCUAAUCCGUCAAUUUUCUCUCUCGUUUCAAUUUCCCUAACUCUAACCCUAGAAUCUCCGAUCAAAUUCUAACAAUUUCAAUCUAAACCCAACCCUAACCCAGUAACCCUAGAUGAUGAUUCUUCAAAUUGGGGAUGAUUCAUCCAUUCACUAGUUUGAGCCACCGGAACAGUGUUGAUAUAAUCUUCCUAAGGGCGACAAUGUGUUUCAUUGGAGCAUAUCUGGUGGUAUUUCUCUUAGAAACUACUUUUUCCCUAAGUGAAGAUGUUGAUCAAAGUCUUCACUUCGGGAAAAAUUACGUUUUUAUCGAAGUUUCUUAUAUGGUGUUGAUGAAGAUGAAGAAUAAUUAGUAGCAAAAGAAGAAGUUCGCGGAUAAGAAGACGACGACGAAGAAGAAAUACGAGGAGUUCGAUAGGGACUGUUUCGGUUGGCAAGGAGUUUGGGUGGUCUGCAGAGCUGAUAUUGGUUUGAUGGUGGUUUGCGGUGGUGUUUGAGGCUGCUGCUGGGUCUGUUGGAUGGAAGUCUGGUGGUCAGUCUAGGUGCAGGAAGUAGGACUUGGUGUGUUUCUGGUGGUCUGCAGUGAGUUUGAAGAGAGCGGUUCUGCUCGGUCGUAACUGCAGUUUGCCCUGUCUGCAGUAGCUGCAUUGGUAGUGUUGUCCUGUUGCUGAUGUCGCUGCUUGGCUGUUGGCUAGGCCAGUGCUGCUUCUGGUGCUUCGUAGGUGCUGUUUUGUUGGUGCAGUGGUACAACAUUAGGUUUUGUUGCAGUUAGUUCAUGUGCAGUGGUGCGGUUUCAGAAGCCUUGCUGCUGUAUUGCGGCUGUAUUUCUCGCAUUUCCUGUUCUUGUCAUUCCUGGUUAAAGUUGACCAGGGUUGACUUUUGCUCUUUGUUUUGAGGGCCUUUUUUGUUUUGGAGCGUGUGUUUGCUCGGUUUGUUUUUGGUAGGUUGUUAGAGUUUUCAGUUUUCACCACCCUUUUAAAUACUUUUUGGUUUAUGUUGUUAAUAUAGUGCGUAUUUUUAUGGAUAUAAAGAUAUACUGACAGUGUUUAUUACUUCAUAUUAUGGUUUUUGUGAUCUA